AGUAACGAUAAAGCGGGUGAAAAGCCCGCUCGCCGGAAGACCAAGGGUUCCUGUCCAACGUUAAUCGGGGCAGGGUGAGUCGACCCCUAAGGCGAGGCCGAAAGGCGUAGUCGAUGGGAAACAGGUUAAUAUUCCUGUACUUGGUGUUACUGCGAAGGGGGGACGGAGAAGGCUAUGUUGGCCGGGCGACGGUUGUCCCGGUUUAAGCGUGUAGGCUGGUUUUCCAGGCAAAUCCGGAAAAUCAAGGCUGAGGCGUGAUGACGAGGCACUACGGUGCUGAAGCAACAAAUGCCCUGCUUCCAGGAAAAGCCUCUAAGCAUCAGGUAACAUCAAAUCGUACCCCAAACCGACACAGGUGGUCAGGUAGAGAAUACCAAGGCGCUUGAGAGAACUCGGGUGAAGGAACUAGGCAAAAUGGUGCCGUAACUUCGGGAGAAGGCACGCUGAUAUGUAGGUGAAGUCCCUCGCGGAUGGAGCUGAAAUCAGUCGAAGAUACCAGCUGGCUGCAACUGUUUAUUAAAAACACAGCACUGUGCAAACACGAAAGUGGACGUAUACGGUGUGACGCCUGCCCGGUGCCGGAAGGUUAAUUGAUGGGGUCAGCGCAAGCG
rnacentral:rRNA from 1 species